GAUACUCUCCUCCUCACCCAUCAUUAGCAGCUAAGGGGAUAAUACUUUUUUGGAUAGAGAUUCUUCUCCUCUUGAGCUAUCACUGGUCAUGGGAAGGGGUGAACUGCUUUUCUGUGUGUUCUUGUUAUGGGUUAUUUCUCUGUAGUUCCUGUAUUCCAUUUGAAGUCAGCAUUUACAGAAGGAAUAAUAUCAUCUGAGAACAUGAUGGAAACUACUUUUCAAACACUGAGUGAAACACUCUGGUAGCAGCAACUGAAUGUUUUGUUUCAACAGCUCUGCAGAGGAUCCUGAAUUCCACUGUAUCGUGUUCACUGCAUCCAAGGCUGCCUCAACUUUCACAUUCACAACCAGUCCUUCCUUUGUAAGAACAAGAUCCCACCUCUCUCCUUUUUGACUCUUCCACCACCUGCCACUGGAAGUUUUCUUUCAUGAACUGCAAGACCCUACUGGCCUGCUCGUGCCUUGUGGAAUUGCUUCUUCAGCAAAUACCAGAGUGGUUAAUGUCCCUCAUGAGAACAAGUACCUGUGAUAGUGAGAUUACUUUUUGCUGUCUGUAGAAGGCCUCAUCAACUUCCUCUUCCUCUCCCUUGACUGGAUAGAUCUUACACACAAAUAUUAAGAACUUUAGGCUGUAGUUUCAUGGUCACAUUAAAGCAACAGAAAUUGCUGCUGGAGCUGAGGAAGUAGUCUUGUCCCUGUAUUAUCUUUUGUACCUAAAAGGAACUGAAACCCAUUCAUGUUGCCAUAAUCUCCCUCUUGGCAGUAAGAAGUGAGCAGGAUUUGGGCAGUGAUUUAUGUCCAGUAUCUCUCAUGGCCUUCUGUAGAGCUCCUGGGGUGGUAGCAUAAGGAGAGAAGCAGAAAGAUGCUGUUGACUUAGCAGC